GUGUUGCUCAGUAGUCAAGCACUUGCUUAGCACGCAAGAGGCCCUGGGUUCAAUUCCCAGUGC
rnacentral:tRNA from 1 species